rnacentral:rRNA from 1 species
GAUGAACGCUGGCGGCGUGCCUAAUACAUGCAAGUCGAGCGAACAGACGAGGAGCUUGCUCCUCUGACGUUAGCGGCGGACGGGUGAGUACAACGUGGAUAACCUACCUAUAAGACUGGGAUAACUUCGGGAAACCGGAGCUAAUACCGGAUAAUAUAUUGAACCGCAUGGUUCAAUAGUGUAAGACGGUUUUGCUGUCACUUAUAGAUGGAUCCGCGCCGCAUUAGCUAGUUGGUAAGGUAACGGCUUACCAAGGCAACGAGGCGUAGCCGACCUGAGAGAGGGAUCGGCCACACUGGAACUGGGAGACGGUCCAGACUCCUACGGGAGGCAGCAGUAGGGAAUCUUCCGCAAUGGGCGAAAGCCUGACGGAGCGACGCCGCGUGAGUGAUGAAGGUCUUCGGAUCGUAAAACUCUGUUAUUAGAGAAGAACAAAUGUGUAAGUAACUAUGCACGUCUUGACGGUACCUAAUCAGAAAGCCACGGCUAAGUACGUG